AUUGAACGCUGGCGGCAUGCCUUACACAUGCAAGUCGAACGGUAACAGGUCUUCGGAUGCUGACGAGUGGCGAACGGGUGAGUAAUACAUCGGAACGUGCCCGAUCGUGGGGGAUAACGAAGCGAAAGCUUUGCUAAUACCGCAUAAGAUCUAAGGAUGAAAGCAGGGGACCGCAAGGCCUUGCGCGAACGGAGCGGCCGAUGGCAGAUUAGGUAGUUGGUGGGAUAAAAGCUUACCAAGCCGACGAUCUGUAGCUGGUCUGAGAGGACGACCAGCCACACUGGGACUGAGACACGGCCCAGACUCCUACGGGAGGCAGCAGUGGGGAAUUUUGGACAAUGGGCGCAAGCCUGAUCCAGCCAUGCCGCGUGCAGGAUGAAGGCCUUCGGGUUGUAAACUGCUUUUGUACGGAACGAAAAGAUUCUGGUUAAUACCUGGGGUCCAUGACGGUACCGUAAGAAUAAGCACCGGCUAACUACGUGCCAGCCGCCGCCGUAAAAC
rnacentral:rRNA from 1 species